rnacentral:rRNA from 1 species
GAUGAACGCUGGCGGCGUGCCUAAUACAUGCAAGUCGAGCGAACAGACGAGGAGCUUGCUCCUCUGACGUUAGCGGCGGACGGGUGAGUAACACGUGGAUAACCUACCUAUAAGACUGGGAUAACUUCGGGACACCGGAGCUAAUACCGGAUAAUAUAUUGAACCGCAUGGUUCAAUAGUGAAAGACGGUUUUGCUGUCACUUAUAGAUGGAUCCGCGCCGCAUUAGCUAGUUGGUAAGGUAACGGCUUACCAAGGCAACGAUGCGUAGCCGACCUGAGAGGGUGAUCGGCCACACUGGAACUUAGACACGGACCAGACUCCUACGGGAGGCAGCAGUAGGGAAUCUGCCGCAAUGGGCGAAAGCCUGACGGAGCAACGCCGCGUGAGUGAUGAAGGUCUUCGGAUCGUAAAACUCUGUUAUUAGGGAAGAACAAAUGUGUAAGUAACUAUGCACGUCUUGACGGUACCUAAUCAGAAAGCCACGGCUAACUACGUG